GAGCAUUAAGUUCAUGCUUUAAUCACGAUUUUAAUAACUUUGAGUUCUGAAGCUCCUUUUUUCUUUCUCUAGGUUAUUGCUGUUGGAAUGAAUCCUCUUCAAAUUGCUCUUGGGAUUGAGAAGACAACAACUGCACUUGUUUCUGAACUCAGUUUCAUGUCAAGAGAGGGCGGGGAAUGAUUAUGCAGUUGAAAACAUGAUUUUUGAGGCACUGCAUAAGCAAGAGAGUAGUAGUGACAAUUGAAACUAGAAAAGUAGAGAUUAUGGAGGGAAUGCAAUUUGAUCAUGUAUAUUUGUCCCCAUACUUUGUCAACAAUAGAGGAAAGAUGACAGUGGAAUUCCACAUGUAUUUAUGAAAGAUUCUACUCACUUCUA